rnacentral:rRNA from 1 species
UAUGGCUCAGAUUGAACGCUGGCGGCAGGCCUAACACAUGCAAGUCGAGCGGAUGAAGGGGGCUUGCUCCUGGAUUCAGCGGCGGACGGGUGAGUAAUGCCUAGGAAUCUGCCUGGUAGUGGGGGAUAACGUCCGGAAACGGGCGCUAAUACCGCAUACGUCCUGAGGGAGAAAGUGGGGGAUCUUCGGACCUCACGCUAUCAGAUGAGCCUAGGUCGGAUUAGCUAGUUGGUGGGGUAAAGGCCUACCAAGGCGACGAUCCGUAACUGGUCUGAGAGGAUGAUCAGUCACACUGGAACUGAGACACGGUCCAGACUCCUACGGGAGGCAGCAGUGGGGAAUAUUGGACAAUGGGCGAAAGCCUGAUCCAGCCAUGCCGCGUGUGUGAAGAAGGUCUUCGGAUUGUAAAGCACUUUAAGUUGGGAGGAAGGGCAGUAAGUUAAUACCUUGCUGUUUGACGUACCAACAG